GACGAACGCUGGCGGCGUGCUUAACACAUGCAAGUCACGGGGGCCCGCAAGGGCAACCGGCGAACGGGUGCGUAACACGUGAGCAACCUGCCGAUCUGAGGGGGAUAGCCGGCCCAACGGCCGGGUAAUACCGCAUACGUUCUCGAGGGGGAGUCCUCUUGAGAAGAAACCUCCGGGGCAGAUCGAGGGGCUCGCGGCCUAUCAGCUAGUUGGCGGUGUAAUGGACCACCAAGGCGACGACGGGAGCUGGUCUGAGAGCACGACCAGUCACACGGGCACUGAGACACGGGCCCGACUCCUACGGGAGGCAGCAGUAAGGAAUAUUGGUCAAUGGACGCAAGUCUGAACCAGCCAUGCCGCGUGAAGGAUGAAGGCCCUCUGGGUUGUAAACUUCUUUAUCCGGGACGAAACCACCUUUUUCCAAAGGUGUUGACGGUACCGGAGGAAUAGCACGGGCUAACUCCGU
rnacentral:rRNA from 1 species